CCUCGUGGAGCAGCUCGUGACUUUGCAGCUGGUACUGCCAGGCUGCACCUGCCAACAGCCUCAGCUGAAGGCAAUAAACCAGAGUGGAGUGGGAGAUAAAAGGGACUAAGCAGGCUUUGCCAAGAUGGCUGCUUGAGAAGCAGGAGGACUUCCCUUGCAGGUCUGCCACUGAGAAGCUUUCCAUCUAAGGAGGGAGGAAAGUGACAUCUCAUGCCUCCAUCCUUGUGCGUGCCUGAGUCCCAGCACACCUGCUGGCAGACCUGUCUCAAAGCCCUGGUGUCUCCUGCAAAGGGAGCAUGAAGAAUGGACUGGAGCAUUAAAUAAGGACAUUGAGUUAAACAACUGAUGCUGUGUCUACAUGCCCUUCUGCAGAUACCAGCUUGCUCUGUGCCCUGUGCCUGCCAGCUAUGAGCUGCAUCACCGGCAGUACAGCUGCACUGUUUGCACAGCAAAGAGGCCUGGUGGACCAGGAUGUGUUGCAGAGAAGUGGUCACAUCCAGGCAAAGACACCCUCUCUGCAAGUAUCCUGACAACAACAGCAAGAUGCCUUGGGAGUCCAGACCUGGUGUCCUUUGCACCUCUCUCAGCUGCUGUGCUACACUGGUUUUUAGCAUUUUCUGCUUUUGAGAUAACCACCCAGAUGACUUCCUCUCUGGCUAAGGCUUGCCAUAAGG